AGUGAACGCUGGCGGUAGACCUAACACAUGCAAGUCGAACGGCAGCACAGUAAGAGCUUGCUCUUACGGGUGGCGAGUGGCGGACGGGUGAGGAAUACAUCGGAAUCUACUUUUUCGUGGGGGAUAACGUAGGGAAACUUACGCUAAUACCGCAUACGACCUACGGGUGAAAGCAGGGGAUCUUCGGACCUUGCGCGAUUGAAUGAGCCGAUGUCGGAUUAGCUAGUUGGCGGGGUAAAGGCCCACCAAGGCGACGAUCCGUAGCUGGUCUGAGAGGAUGAUCAGCCACACUGGAACUGAGACACGGUCCAGACUCCUACGGGAGGCAGCAGUGGGGAAUAUUGGACAAUGGGCGCAAGCCUGAUCCAGCCAUACCGCGUGGGUGAAGAAGGCCUUCGGGUUGUAAAGCCCUUUUGUUGGGAAAGAAAAGCAGCAGAUUAAUACCCCGCUGUUCUGACGGUACCCAAAGAAUAAGCACCGGCUAACUUCGUG
rnacentral:rRNA from 1 species